rnacentral:rRNA from 1 species
CGCUGGCGGCGUGCCUAAUACAUGCAAGUCGAACGGUCUUUCUAUGGAAGCUGCUUCCACUGAGAAGAUAGUGGCGAACGGGUGAGUAACACGUGGGGUAACCCUGCCCAUAAGAGGGGGGAGUAACAAUCCGGAAACGGGUGCUAAUACCGCCAUAGUUUUCUUGAUCGCAUGAUCGGGAAAGGAAAGACGGCCUUUGUGCUGUCGCUUAUGGAUGGACCCGCGGCGUAUUAGUUAGUUGGUGAGGUAACGGCUCACCAAGACGAUGAUACGUAGCCGACCUGAGAGGGUGAUCGGCCACAUUGGGACUGAGACACGGCCCAAACUCCUGCGGGAGGCAGCAGUAGGGAAUCUUCCGCAAUGGACGAAAGUCUGACGGAGCAACGCCGCGUGAGUGAAGAAAGGUUUUCGGAUCGUAAAACUCUGUUGUCAGAGAAGAACAAGUUGGAGAGUAACUGCUCCAGCCUUGACGGUAUCUGACCAGAAAGCCACGGCUAACUACGUGCCAGCAGCGGC